UAACCCUCGCCAACCGGACAGUAAUGUUCGGGGAAGCGGAUUUGGACGUUUGCCGGUCGUGAGAUCGGCUCGUCUCGAAAUGCAUUAGCGAAGUGAGACGCAAGCGCGACGUUGAUAAUUGUCUACGCCUCGUUAGGGUCGAGCCUCGCUCACAAUCGCCGUGAGGCAAUAUUUCACA
rnacentral:misc_RNA from 2 species